rnacentral:rRNA from 1 species
GAUGAACGCUGACAGAAUGCUUAACACAUGCAAGUCUACUUGAUUCUACUUCGGUAGUUGAUGGUGGCGGACGGGUGAGUAACGCGUAAAGAAUCUGCCCUUUAGUUUGGGAUAACCUUUGGAAACGAAGGCUAAUACCGGAUAUUAUGGAGACGUCGUAUGGCGACUCCAUGAAAGCUAUAUGCGCUAGAGGAGGACUUUGCGUCCCAUUAGUUAGUUGGUGAGGUAAUGGCUCACCAAGACCGCGAUGGGUAGCCGGCCUGAGAGGGUGAUCGGCCACAAGGGAACUGAGACACGGUCCUUACUCCUACGGGAGGCAGCAGUGGGGAAUCUUGCGCAAUGGGGGCAACCCUGACGCAGCCAUACCGCGUGUGCGAUGAAGGUCUUCGGAUUGUAAAGCACUUUCAGUGGGGACGACGAUGACGGUACCCACAGAAGAAGUCACGGCUAACUUCGUGCCAGCCGCCGCAGUAACAC